GGUCAAGUGAAGAAGCGCAUACGGUGGAUGCCUUGGCAGUCAGAGGCGAUGAAAGACGUGGUAGCCUGCGAAAAGCUUCGGGGAGUCGGCAAACAGACUUUGAUCCGGAGAUGUCUGAAUGGGGGAACCCAGCCAUCAUAAGAUGGUUAUCUUGUACUGAAUACAUAGGUGCAAGAGGCGAACCAGGGGAACUGAAACAUCUAAGUACCCUGAGGAAAAGAAAUCAACCGAGAUUCCCUUAGUAGUGGCGAGCGAACGGGGACUAGCCCUUAAGUGGCUUUGAGAUUAGCGGAACGCUCUGGAAAGUGCGGCCAUAGUGGGUGAUAGCCCUGUACGCGAAAAUCUCUUAGUCAUGAAAUCGAGUAGGACGGAGCACGAGAAACUUUGUCUGAAUAUGGGGGGACCAUCCUCCAAGGCUAAAUACUACUGACUGACCGAUAGUGAACUAGUACCGUGAGGGAAAGGCGAAAAGAACCCCGGAGAGGGGAGUGAAAUAGAUCCUGAAACCGUAUGCGUACAAGCAGUGGGAGCAGACUUUGUUCUGUGACUGCGUACCUUUUGUAUAAUGGGUCAGCGACUUAUUUUCAGUGGCGAGCUUAACCGAAUAGGGGAGGCGUAGCGAAAGCGAGUCUUAAUAGGGCGUCUAGUCGCUGGGAAUAGACCCGAAACCGGGCGAUCUAUCCAUGGGCAGGUUGAAGGUUAGGUAACACUGACUGGAGGACCGAACCGACUACCGUUGAAAAGUUAGCGGAUGACCUGUGGAUCGGAGUGAAAGGCUAAUCAAGCUCGGAGAUAGCUGGUUCUCCUCGAAAGCUAUUUAGGUAGCGCCUCAUGUAUCACUGUAGGGGGUAGAGCACUGUUUCGGCUAGGGGGUCAUCCCGACUUACCAAACCGAUGCAAACUCCGAAUACCUACAAGUGCCGAGCAUGGGAGACACACGGCGGGUGCUAACGUCCGUCGUGAAAAGGGAAACAACCCAGACCGUCAGCUAAGGUCCCAAAGUUAUGGUUAAGUGGGAAACGAUGUGGGAAGGCUUAGACAGCUAGGAGGUUGGCUUAGAAGCAGCCACCCUUUAAAGAAAGCGUAAUAGCUCACUAGUCGAGUCGGCCUGCGCGGAAGAUGUAACGGGGCUCAAACCAUACACCGAAGCUACGGGUAUCAUCUUAGGAUGAUGCGGUAGAGGAGCGUUCUGUAAGCCUGUGAAGGUGAGUUGAGAAGCUUGCUGGAGGUAUCAGAAGUGCGAAUGCUGACAUGAGUAACGACAAUGGGUGUGAAAAACACCCACGCCGAAAGACCAAGGUUUCCUGCGCAACGUUAAUCGACGCAGGGUUAGUCGGUCCCUAAGGCGAGGCUGAAAAGCGUAGUCGAUGGAAAACAGGUUAAUAUUCCUGUACUUCUGGUUAUUGCGAUGGAGGGACGGAGAAGGCUAGGCCAGCUUGGCGUUGGUUGUCCAAGUUUAAGGUGGUAGGCUGAGAUCUUAGGUAAAUCCGGGAUCUUAAGGCCGAGAGCUGAUGACGAGUGUUCUUUUAGAACACGAAGUGGUUGAUGCCAUGCUUCCAAGAAAAGCUUCUAAGCUUCAGGUAACCAGGAACCGUACCCCAAACCGACACAGGUGGUUGGGUAGAGAAUACCAAGGCGCUUGAGAGAACUCGGGUGAAGGAACUAGGCAAAAUGGCACCGUAACUUCGGGAGAAGGUGCGCCGGUGAGGGUGAAGGACUUGCUCCGUAAGCUCAUGCCGGUCGAAGAUACCAGGCCGCUGCGACUGUUUAUUAAAAACACAGCACUCUGCAAACACGAAAGUGGACGUAUAGGGUGUGACGCCUGCCCGGUGCCGGAAGGUUAAUUGAUGGGGUUAGCUAACGCGAAGCUCUUGAUCGAAGCCCCGGUAAACGGCGGCCGUAACUAUAACGGUCCUAAGGUAGCGAAAUUCCUUGUCGGGUAAGUUCCGACCUGCACGAAUGGCGUAACGAUGGCGGCGCUGUCUCCACCCGAGACUCAGUGAAAUUGAAAUCGCUGUGAAGAUGCAGUGUAUCCGCGGCUAGACGGAAAGACCCCGUGAACCUUUACUAUAGCUUUGCACUGGACUUUGAAUUUGCUUGUGUAGGAUAGGUGGGAGGCUUUGAAGCGUGGACGCCAGUUCGCGUGGAGCCAUCCUUGAAAUACCACCCUGGCAACUUUGAGGUUCUAACUCAGGUCCGUUAUCCGGAUCGAGGACAGUGUAUGGUGGGUAGUUUGACUGGGGCGGUCUCCUCCUAAAGAGUAACGGAGGAGUACGAAGGUGCGCUCAGACCGGUCGGAAAUCGGUCGUAGAGUAUAAAGGCAAAAGCGCGCUUGACUGCGAGACAGACACGUCGAGCAGGUACGAAAGUAGGUCUUAGUGAUCCGGUGGUUCUGUAUGGAAGGGCCAUCGCUCAACGGAUAAAAGGUACUCCGGGGAUAACAGGCUGAUACCGCCCAAGAGUUCAUAUCGACGGCGGUGUUUGGCACCUCGAUGUCGGCUCAUCACAUCCUGGGGCUGAAGCCGGUCCCAAGGGUAUGGCUGUUCGCCAUUUAAAGUGGUACGCGAGCUGGGUUUAGAACGUCGUGAGACAGUUCGGUCCCUAUCUGCCGUGGACGUUUGAGAUUUGAGAGGGGCUGCUCCUAGUACGAGAGGACCGGAGUGGACGAACCUCUGGUGUUCCGGUUGUCACGCCAGUGGCAUUGCCGGGUAGCUAUGUUCGGGAAAGAUAACCGCUGAAAGCAUCUAAGCGGGAAACUUGCCUCAAGAUGAGAUCUCACUGGAACCUUGAGUUCCCUGAAGGGCCGUCGAAGACUACGACGUUGAUAGGUUGGGUGUGUAAGCGCUGUGAGGCGUUGAGCUAACCAAUACUAAUUGCCCGUGAGGCUUGACCAU
rnacentral:rRNA from 1 species